rnacentral:rRNA from 1 species
GACGAACGCUGGCGGCGUGCCUAAUACAUGCAAGUAGAACGCUGAAGGAGGAGCUUGCUUCUCUGGAUGAGUUGCGAACGGGUGAGUAACGCGUAGGUAACCUGCCUGGUAGCGGGGGAUAACUAUUGGAAACGAUAGCUAAUACCGCAUAAUAGUAGAUGUUGCAUGACAUUUGCUUAAAAGGUGCAAUUGCAUCACUACCAGAUGGACCUGCGUUGUAUUAGCUAGUUGGUGGGGUAACGGCUCACCAAGGCGACGAUACAUAGCCGACCUGAGAGGGUGAUCGGCCACACUGGGACUGAGACACGGCCCAGACUCCUACGGGAGGCAGCAGUAGGGAAUCUUCGGCAAUGGACGGAAGUCUGACCGAGCAACGCCGCGUGAGUGAAGAAGGUUUUCGGAUCGUAAAGCUCUGUUGUAAGAGAAGAACGAGUGUGAGAGUGGAAAGUUCGCACUGUGACGGUAUCUUACCAGAAAGGGGCGGCUAACUACGU